UACAGAGGUCCCAAGCGUUGUUCGGAUUCAUUGGGCGUAAAGGGUGCGUAGGCGGUGAAGUAAGUCUGGUGUGAAAUCCCGGGGCUCAACCCCGGAACUGCACUGGAUACUGCUUUACUAGAGUACUGGAGAGGGAACUGGAAUUUACGGUGUAGCAGUGAAAUGCGUAGAUAUCGUAAGGAAGACCAGUGGCGAAGGCGAGUUCCUGGACAGUUACUGACGCUGAGGCACGAAGGCCAGGGGAGCAAACGGGAUUAGAAACCCCCGUAGUCC
rnacentral:rRNA from 1 species